AACUUUGAUACUUCUGAAGAUGAAAUUGAAGAAGAAAGAAGACUUUGUUAUGUUGCUAUAACAAGGGCAAAAAAAGAACUUUAUCUUUCCCACGUUUCAGAAAG
rnacentral:sRNA from 1 species